rnacentral:rRNA from 1 species
AUAAUGUAGGUAAGGGAAGUCGGCAAAUUAGAUCCGUAACUUCGGGAUAAGGAUUGGCUCUGAAGAUCGAGAUAGUCGGACUACUAUUGCAAUAAAGACCCUAGUAAAAGGGACUAAUUUAGUCCUGUUCGCUGUACCCCCUCUGCAGUCGUGGUUGUGCUAUGACUUUAUUAUGGUAUGAAGUAUACUUUUGGACCAAUAUUUAUAUUUUCCAGCAGCUUGUAAACGAAUAUUUCACAAAGAUCGACUUUUGCAUCCCCCGAUGUGCGA